GAGAAAUGUCCCCUCACCACUGGCUGGUCCCCAAGCCGGGAAUAAAGGAGGAAACUGUGCAAAUCUCCAUGCUUCAUAAAAGUCACAUGAUCCUCCUGCCCCAGCUUCCUAAGGAACUGAGAUUACAGUUUCCUUGUUUUUGGAAUUAGGCGCCUCAACAUGUAGCCCAGACUGGCCUGGAACUCUUGAUCAUCCUGAUUUAGCCUCCCAAGUGCUGGGAUUACAGGCGUGAGCCAUCAUGCCUAAUCUAAAACAGUAGCUUCAAAAACAAAAACAAAAACAAAAGCACAACACACAAAAAAAACCCCACAGUAGCUUCUGAAGACAAAGAUGGCAUAAGCACAUGUUUGGCCAAUCACUGAUGACCUCAUCACCAAGGGUCAAGGAAUCUGGGAAACUCCUCUGGGAGAUCAUGAAGAAGAUACCAGUGAAGAAAGGCCAGGACAUCUUGGUGUUACAAGCACAGUUUUGACCACAUGGACCCCUGCCGAGGUCUCCGGAACCCAGGGGACCUGGGGUUCACACUUUGGGAAAUGAAAGCUGUGUAAUAUUCCAUUAAAUGACUUCAACCUUCCUG